rnacentral:rRNA from 1 species
AUUGAACGCUGGCGGCAGGCUUAACACAUGCCAGUCGAGCGGGGAAAGGUAGCUUGCUACCUGACCUAGCGGCGGACGGGUGAGUAAUGCUUAGGAAUCUGCCUAUUAGUGGGGGACAACAUCUCGAAAGGGAUGCUAAUACCGCAUACGUCCUACGGGAGAAAGCAGGGGACCUUCGGGCCUUGCGCUAAUAGAUGAGCCUAAGUCGGAUUAGCUAGUUGGUGGGGUAAAGGCCUACCAAGGCGACGAUCUGUAGCGGGUCUGAGAGGAUGAUCCGCCACGCUGGGACUGAGACACGGCCCAGACUCCUACGGGAGGCAGCAGGGGGGAAUAUUGGACAAUGGGGGGAACCCUGAUCCAGCCAUGCCGCGUGUGUGAAGAAGGCCUUUUGGUUGUAAAGCACUUUAAGCGAGGAGGAGGCUACCGAGAUUAAUACUCUUGGAUAGUGGACGUUACUCGCAGAAUAAGCACCGGCUAACUCUGUG